CAGCAGCCGCGGGAAUACGAGGGGGGCAAGCGUUGUUCGGAAUUAUUGGGCGUAAAGGGCGCGUAGGCGGUUUGACAAGUUUGGUGUGAAAUCUAUGGGCUCAACCCAUAGCCUGCAUCGAAAACUGUCGGGCUUGAGUAUGGCAGAGGGGGGUAGAAUUCCACGUGUAGCAGUGAAAUGCGUAGAGAUGUGGAGGAAUACCGAUGGCGAAGGCAGCCCCCUGGGCCAAUACUGACGCUCAUGCACGAAAGCGUGGGGAGCAAACAGGAUUAGUACCCCGGUAGUCCCUGUCUCUUAUACC
rnacentral:rRNA from 1 species